AUGCAAUAUUCCUUGAACAAGGUGGUAUAUGUUUUUGAGGAUGGCCAAGUGUUGCUUCAAUGUAAAAUGCCAUAUGUUCCUACGAAGUUGAUUCUAUAUGAUCCAAGGAUUGCUACUUUUGAGUUUGUUUCCUUUGAAAAUAGUUUGGUUGAUAACCUAGAUGUCUCAAAGUAUGGUGGCCCAGAAGUUUGCAUUGAGAGUUUGAUAUCACCCUGUUCUUAA